rnacentral:rRNA from 1 species
GACGAACGCUGGCGGCGUGCUUAACACCUGCAAGUCGAACGGAAAGGCCCCUUCGGGGGUACUCGAGUGGCGAACAGGUGAGUAACACGUGAGUAACCUGCCCUUGACUUCGGGAUAACUUCAGGAAACUGGGGCUAAUACCGGAUAGGAAUCCUUGCUGCAUGGUGGGGGUUGGAAAGCUUCGGCGGUUUUGGAUGGACUCGCGGCUUAUCAGCUUGUUGGUGGGGUAGUGGCUUACCAAGGCUUUGACGGGUAGCCGGCCUGAGAGGGCGACCGGCCACAUUGGGACUGAGAUACGGCCCAGACUCCUACGGGAGGCAGCAGUGGGGAAUAUUGCACAAUGGGCGGAAGCCUGAUGCAGCAACGCCGCGUGCGGGAUGACGGCCUUCGGGUUGUAAACCGCUUUCAGCAGGGGCGAAGCUUGUGGUGACGGUACCCGCAGAAGAAGCACCGGCUAACUACGUG